CAUAGCAUAUCUGAGAACUGGGGUUAAAGGCCCUCAGAUCUUCUGGUCUGCUGAACAGCUUCAUGUAGAUUCACAUCCUGCAGCCUGUUUCCACCUCUGCCAAAUGGAAGGAACUGAAACGUAUUGGUACCUUAAAGAAGCCGCGUCUAGAUUUCUCCAAGAUUUACAUGACACUGAUAAUAACUUACCAUCUGGAAAAUAGGGAAAAGGUUUUCGUUCCAUACCUGAAGAGUCAAAGGUGGAAUAAAAUUUGAUGAAAAUUAAUGUAUUCAGUGCGCUCAGCUGGUAAAUUUCUUAUGUGAAGCAUGAAAUAGUCUCCAGACUUGAGGACUUGGCCUAAAAUAUUCAGGCUGCAAUAUAUAACAACAACAACAGAACUGAGGAUGAGAUCAGCUUCACAGACUUUUUAUGGCUAUAAGCUAAGAGGAAGAUUUGCACAUCUUUUCCCUCAGCUUGCAGUGUGGCAACCUCGAUAGCGAAGGACUAAUCCACGUUCCUGAGCGUCCUUUUUGGGUUCUGCUUCAUCCCGCCCCGGCAGAGGUGCAGACUGUGGUUCAGGGGCGCACAGGGAGCCUCGACUCUGUGCGUGCGUGCGUGCGUGCGUGCGUGCGUGCAGCUACUCAUCCCCUCUCGCUGAGAGGGUUCGUUCUGUCUGUGGGUGGCAUUUUGGCCAAAGUGGGCAGCCUUCUCGGUGGCAAGGGAAGCAGGACAAAAGCAGUAGGAACUGUUCAGAGAACCCUACUCCCUGCUAGCAUUUUUCUAAAGAAAACAACAAGGUACUGGAUUUCUCCUCCCUCCCCCUCCGCCCCCCAACCCCAUCUUCUUUUAUUCUGUAUGUAUGCCAGUAUGAUAAUGGCAGAACAUCAGCUAUACGUCAGAACUGCAUUAUGCAAAAAAUGGGAAAGAAUAAAGAAAAGGUCCGCAUGGGAACGCUAAUAUUUAUAUAUGAAUGCAGGAUAGAGAAUGUGUAUGUGCUAUUGAGAUUUAAAUUUCCAUAUCUGACAUAUUGGUGAUUUGUUUUUCUUUGACUACACCCUGAGAAGCACCACGAGAAAUAUAUGCUGUUAACAGCUGAUACAUUGAACAUCAUGUUUAAUAAUUUUCAAAGAUAAUCAAAAUACUUAAUAUUUUCUUGUGCUUUCUUCAGUAUAAUGCUGAAGCUAAGGCCAAUGAAACACUUUUCUUUUUUGUUUUUUUAUGUUCCGUAGGAUGCAGGAGAACAUAUAAAUGACACAUACUGGGCUGAUUCAAGCAUUUUGCUGUAUUAGCAUAAACAUUUCUUUUUGAAAACAAACGCAUAAAAAGCACAGCAGGAUUGUAAAUUUGGCAUUACCAUGCCCCAGAGGGUUUAUGCUUAUGUAGUAGUGUUAGCAAAUGAGAGCUUUCUUCCAAAAAAUAGAACUUUGCCAUAUAAAGACAAUUUGAUAGGGGUAUCUUACAGAUAUACGCAAAGGUUUGCCAGUGGUGAAGCUCGGCAGGACCAGGUUCUGCCUCUCAGUACUAUGUCAUUAAAGAGAAGGAAUCUGCAUACAAUUAUUUAAUAUUGCAGAUGCUACUGCUGUAAAAGAAGAAUAUGGUCUUAAUUCAUUCUCCUUCCAUCCCUUAUGCCUUAGCAGAAUGGUUCUCUACUAUGUUAUUGUUUGUUCUUUGCCUAGUUAAUUUAAAUUGUAUCAAGUAAACAAGCUUCUACAUUUGUCCUGGGGAGAUAAUUCUCCAGUCUAACAGAUAUCAGUACUUGGAUAUUGAAUUUCCUCUUAGUCACUCUGUACUUUCCCAUUCCUAUUUCUAAAUGGAAAACUUUAAGUUUUUGAAGGAAUAUGUCUUGUAGACCAUACCCAAUAUUUAGAGUUUUUUCCAACAGACUUCUCAAAUGUUUAUGGUGCAUUUCUACUGUAUAAAGCUGCUUGUUUUUAAAGGACAUUUCCUGAUUUUUUUUUUUUUAAUUUUCAUUUUAUUUUAACAUUUUGUGAUUGUACACACAGGGCGUUAGCCGGAUUAUUUCUUAAUCCAUGCAUCAUAAAAAGCUUUGACUUCAGACUUUUUUUACUACCAUAAAAUAUUCUCCUUCCCUCUCUUUACCUUUUCCCUCCAUCAGUUCUAACUGCAGAACUGUUGCUGAUGCAUGAGCAGAAAAGGAGCACAGUUUGAGUUCCUGAGUCCAUGCUGUGCUUGAGGCAAUGGUAAGAAUAAAAACAAUAUUUUUGCUAGGAACCUGAGCCUAUAUGAUCUUGAAGUUACUGAUAUUUAAUAAAUUAGGAACCUCCAUUUUUUGUAGUGCUGUUUACUAUGAUAGGAUUAUAUUUUUCAUUAAUGAUUGGAAUAUAUGUAAGUUCACAUCUUAGAAGAAGGAAUCAUACCUCAAAUUAUUUUGAAGAAAGUAAUUUUUUAAAAUAUGAACAACCUAGUUUAAAAAAUAAGGUAGGUUUGGAAAUUAGAUUAAUUAGCCCUUGAAUAGUAAUUAUAGACUAUUUAUAGAAUUUGCUGCUGAAAGAGGCUUAUACCAUCCGGUUAUCAACAAAAGUCAUCCAGAGAGUUAUCCUCUUCUAGUUUUCUGAAAAUCAAUACUAUGCUGCGUAUGCAUAGCCUUCAAGUCUGCAAGUCUGUUCUUGAUCACUGAUAAAGUCUCUGACAGAUCUCUGUCCAUUCUUUUAUCAGUCUGGCCAUAUCCUGUGACCCUAAUGUUAUUUAAAAUGUGAUCAAAAUGAUUUAUUCUUCCAAUUUUUGCUCCCAACUUUCCAUUACAUUUCACCCAUCUCCACAUAUCAUUUUUAAUUUUAUCAUUUUGAUAUUGAUGUAUAUCCUGCUCUCAUGAUAUAUUUCGGUGUUUACUGCAAUGCUAUCUGAGAUCUGUGAUCCAUAGUAAUUAGUAAACAAGCAGUAUGUAAACGUUCUCAUGUCCUGCUCUUCCUGCAAAUGUCCAGUUAUUGCAUUAAAUUAAGCUAAUAUAUUUUCUAUUAAUUUUCAUCCUUAAGCAAUUAGUUGCCACAAGGAUGCUUUAUAACCUCUAAUGAACAUAUGUAGUUUUUCGGAAAACUGAAACAACAUUGCGUUAAUCAUCUGUGAAUGAAAUGAUAUCCUUCUAAACUUCAGUGCGUUGUCAACACCAUUUAACCUCCAGAUCUUUUUUUCAAAUUAACUAUUCAAAAGCCAUUCAUGCAGUGAAAGAAAUAUUCAGAUCAUGUAGAAAAAAUGAAUUUUAAAAACUGUAUAAGCUGAUCACAUAGUUCUUUCGCAAAAUCAGGUAGCAGGCUUAAAAUAAGCACAAGCGCAGCUCCUGAUUAAGUAGCACCUAUUCAAAGCGUCAAUGGAAUCAAAAGAGAUUAAAAGCUUCAUGAAGGAUAGAUUUAUUUAGUGUCUAUUAAAAUGACGGUCAAGAACAGAGCAGGAUGAGUAAGGAAGCAGGCUUUCCUUUCAUUUAUCGAGGUGGUUUGUUAGAGCUUAGUGGCAUUACUAUGGCACAGAGGAAAGAGAACUCAUAUCCUUUAGUAAGAAAAAUAGCCGUGCUUUUAUGUUCUUGAAAUGAGAAUGAAUUGAUCUUUCGUAAAGGAAUGUAGAGAAAUUGAAACAUUUAAGGUCAUGUAAUUAUUGUCCUACAAAGCAUCUUUUAUGAAAAAUAAUACUGCCCCAAUAUCUAAACAAACCCGAAAUGGCUGAACUGCUGGAGGAAUCUCUUUCUGUGUUGGGAGGAAUGGGGAAAUAGCAUUAGUUUUCUCAGUCUCUUCUAUUUAGUAUAUGCAGUUUGCCUGCUUUAACAAAAGAGGAAUAGUAGCAAAUCAGUAGAAGCAGCAAUAUUCAUGAGAAUACAGCCCUAACUGUGGUUGCUUUUGCAGUUUACUCCAAAAGAAAAUCAAUACUGCAAAAUUCAAGGCAGCAGUCCAGGAUCAUGCAACCCUGAUGUAAAUGCAUGCCCAAAUAUUAUGCAACAAUAAAUCAUUUCCUUUGUAGUCAGAGAAUGUAGUCAAAAGUUCUGUGGUUAAUGGCAAAGGAUGGGGACGGGCUAGUGGAGAAAAGGAAAAUCAUUUAAACAGGAAUAUGUUCUUGAACUUGGCAAGAGAUGGCAGUUGUUCAGCUCUGUUGAAAUGCACUACAUAGGUUCGGUGAUUUAUAUAUUUUGUAAUACCUCGUUUUGUAUUUUUAAGCAGUGUAAAUCCUUUAUCAAAGGAACUUUGUACAGGGUCAUCGUGACAUCAUUCAUUUGCACUGCACUCUGUAAGGAAGGGAUAUGAUGCUGUUGUACAGGUGAGAAGCUCUGUCCAAGUCCUAAGCGAUUUGCUCUGGAAGCAACACAAUAUUAAAUCUGGAACAGCUAAGUUUUGUGUGAUAACUGUACCACUUUAUUCUCAAAGCCGAAACCCAAUAAAGCAAUAUCAAUGAACUUUUGUGUUCACAUGUGUAUUCAGACAUCAGUGGUAUCCUGGUUCACCUUAGAAUAAUAACUUCACUAAAUGGAAUUGCAGGAAUCCAUAAAAUCAUUAGGGAGUAAAUCCUUGAUGUUGU